GGAGUGCAUGACUCAUCUCCUGGCCCCUCCAGGAAACCAGAGAAGGCAGAAAAGGGCAAGAAUGUUGUGUUGUCUUUGGGCUGUGGAGUUCAUGAUUAUGGACACUUUCUGAAUUAUUGGCACUAAGGGCACAUCCUGCUUAGCAUGGAGGCUGGACAGCUCUGGGAAAGCAGAGAUUCUUUUUAGGGAGUCCAGAGCAUUUUUUUCUUCUUUCUUAUCCUCUCUUUCCAACAGAUGUCAGAAGGGUGACUGUUAGGGUUGAUACAUUAUUUGGUGCUUGGUUUUUUUGAGCAUUGUCUACUCAGAGUGAUUACCAAGGUGGAGCUCAUUAUGUUACCUGGCACCUGCAACUACUUGCUUCAUGUUGGACUAAAGUGGAAAGACUCCUAUUGGGAAUUCACUCAGGGAGGCACCAGGCAUUGUUAGAAAAGCGGUAUUGCAGAGCAGUUAAGAGCUGAGCCUUGUGAUCAGGUGGACUUGGGUUUAUGUCCUCGCACUGUCGCUUCCUAGAUUUAUGACCUCAGUUUCCUCAUUUCUAAAGUAGAGACGGGUGGAGGGUGGGGAGAAUGUGAAUUAAUUUGGAUUAAAUGGAUGAGAAUCAGAAGUAUUUAUUUGGAAUUGGUGUGAAUUGGAGCACAUGGGGAACUGAAA
rnacentral:sRNA from 1 species